GGGGGCGACAUGGUUUCGACGGGGGUAGUGUGGGUUGGAGUAGCGAGCCGGGGAUCCUGGAACCCGUUAAACAGGGAAAACUUCAAUUAAACGCUAACGAUAACUUAGCAUUUGCUGCCUAACUAGGCAGCCGUCCGCCUGAAUUGUGUCUACUGGGUUCAGAAACGGGCGUCAUGAACAGUAGUACUACCGACUGAGAGCGCCUAGUAUCUGUCGGGAAAUUAAUAGGCUAGCAACGUAACGACCCUGUCCUUGGGGGCGUAACCGCGCGAAAUUCAAAGCAAGGACUGCGCUCGGAGAGACUCUGGCUGGCAUGCCUUCGGACGGUGGGUUCGACUCCCCCCGCCUCCA
rnacentral:tmRNA from 1 species